rnacentral:lncRNA from 1 species
UAAAGAAGCUUUUUGCUUCUUUCUCCUUCAGCCGACCACCAUGGCCACCCACGCGCGCAUGGAGAAGGGAGAGAGAAACCCUUCUUUCUCUCUCUAGAUUGCUCUCUCAUCUCUCUAUAUUUAUCGCUCAAAUUCGCGGCGUUGGUGGAGAAGAUGCUUGCGAACGCGUUGGAGGCGACGGAUUGAGCUUUCGUGCGCCCAUUGGAGCGGCGUGUUUUCGUCGCGGCGUUCACGUUGUGGUAAGCUUUUGGGAUUUGGCUUAAUCCUUAGCUUAAAGUGUUCUAAUAGCCUCUAAUGAGUAUUGUAAACAUGUUUCCUCAUUUAAUUUGGGCUAUUUGGGAGUUAUGCAUAUGUUAGGUUUAAAAUGGUAGAACCUUAGAGCUUUAAUUAUAUGCUCUAGGAAUGGGUUUAGAGGACUCCCUAUAUGAUAUCCACAUGCUAAUUGCUUGGAUCAUGAAUCAAUUUUGAAGCUUAUUGCAAUAGUAGCAUGUUAGGGCUCCAAUUUUGGGGUUUUAUAAAAUGUAUGGGUUUGAUCUAAAUUGACCCUAUGUAAACCUAAUUGCUAGGUAAACGAACGCGUUGGCGAAGACGGUUCGGCAAUCCGACGAGCCGUUACAAAGUUGUUAAAGAAACGGACGUUUAGGCUUCGUUACCGCCUGGAGGGCCGAGGCGACGUCGUAAAAUCAUGGAAAUGGAUUUGAAGCACCGUGGCACAUAAUCGAAGACCUUUAAUUUUCGGAUCGUGGAUCGGAGGCCGUUCGGGUAGUCGCGCAAAAGAUCGGGCCAAACCGGAUUACGGGUGCCGCGGGAGGCCGAUUGCAAGUAUCGACAAGCAAUCGGAAAGCGUUUUGAGGUGGGUUGUGCUCACCGAAGCGAUUAGGUCGCUUUCCAUGCUAAAGUGUAGUAUGUUUACUAUUGAUGCAUGAUAAAGUAUGCUAUUUAAGAAUGCAUGAUAAAGAUUAAAGUAUGUCAUUUACGAAUGCAUGAUAAAGAUUAAAGUAUGUCUUUUAAGAAUGCAUGAUAAAGAUUAAAGUAUGUCAUUUAAGAAUGCAUGAUAAAGAUUAAAGUAUGCUAUUUAAGAAUGCAUGAUAAAGAUUAAAGUAUGCUAUUUAAGAAUGCAUGAUAAAGAUAGAUGUCAAGUAAAUGCAUGAGUUGAUGUUAAUUUACAUGAGUAUAUUAUAGAAAUGCUAAACAGAUGUCAAAUGUAAGUAUGAGAUUUAUACUAACCGAGAAUGCAUGUGGUAAAUGUUAAUGAAUGCAUAAAAUGCUAAAUGAUGACUACCAAUGGAUGACAAAAUAUCCACAUAAUGAACUUAGAUCGAGUGGCAUUUGGAAAUGGUAAAGUGGACACUAGAGUUAGUGUGGGACAUCAAAGAAUAAAUGUUG